UGUCGACGGGAAUAGGGGAAGACCGCUCUACCUGCUUUCAAUUACAUCAGAAGGAACCGCAGUCCAUUUAUUACACAGGAAAGACACGUCCCUAAGAUUUCACUUCCAAUUCAAUUCAACUCACCUACUCCUACCAUCACUGAAACAUUGCAUUGCAACAUACACAGAGAGAGAGAGAGAGAGAGAGAGAGAGAGAUGGAGGGGAGUGGAGGAACACCCGCACACGCUCCGUUGCAUCCGUGGGUUCUUGUUCAAGAAGCUGUGAAGGUCAUACUCAGGUGCUUAGGUCUAGAAACAACACAUGAUCAUCCUGAUGUUCCUCCACUAAAGCCACAAGACUCUUCUCCUCCUCCUUCCACCGUAGAAGCUGAUGAUCCGCCAUCAUCCACUGCGGCCGAACUGGAUCCACCAUCGAAACCGUCGGACCCCAUCGGAGAUGAUGAUCCGCCAACUACAGCAGAAGGCGACAGUCCGGACACAUUUGCACAAUCCGCAGUUUCCAGGCCACCAAUAAACACGGGAUCGGGUGCUCAAACUAAUUAAAAUUCGUCCACAGUGGGUGAAUAAGCUCCUUUUUGGUGUUUUUUUUUUAGUGUUUUUUUCGGAGUCAGCUGUUUUUCUAUCUGUUGAAUCUAAAUCCAACUGCCAAUUCUUAAUUUAUUGCUUCGCUUGUGUGUUAUGUGUGUGCACGACCAGAUAGUUACCGACCCUGUAGACAUGCUUCCUCUCUGCAGAACAUCACUUUGUUGGAACGUGAUUUGUAUUGAUAAUUAUGAGUUUCUUAAUGUGAAAUUGAUGCUAUAGCUUCUUUCUUUA